GUCCCCUUCGUCUAGUGGCCUAGGACACCGCCCUUUCACGGCGGUAACAGGGGUUCGAGUCCCCUAGCAGCCU
rnacentral:tRNA from 1 species